AUGAACGCUGGCGGCGUGCCUAAUACAUGCAAGUCGAGCGAACGGACGAGAAGCUUGCUUCUCUGAUGUUAGCGGCGGACGGGUGAGUAACACGUGGAUAACCUACCUAUAAGACUGGGAUAACUUCGGGAAACCGUAGCUAAUACCGGAUAAUAUUUUGAACCGCAUGGUUCAAAAGUGAAAGACGGUCUUGCUGUCACUUAUAGAUGGAUCCGCGCUGCAUUAGCUAGUUGGUAAGGUAACGGCUUACCAAGGCAACGAUGCAUAGCCGACCUGAGAGGGUGAUCGGCCACACUGGAACUGAGACACGGUCCAGACUCCUACGGGAGGCAGCAGUAGGGAAUCUUCCGCAAUGGGCGAAAGCCUGACGGGGCAACGCCGCGUGAGUGAUGAAGGUCUUCGGAUCGUAAAACUCUGUUAUUAGGGAAGAACAUAUGUGUAAGUAACUGUGCACAUCUUGACGGUACCUAAUCAGAAAGCCACGGCUAACUACGUG
rnacentral:rRNA from 1 species